ACUGGGUUGGCCGAGUGGUUAAGGCGUUGGACUUAAGUUCCAAUCGACAAGUGUCCGCGUGGGUUCGAACCCCACACCCAGUA
rnacentral:tRNA from 1 species